rnacentral:rRNA from 1 species
AUGGCUCACUACCUGCCGCUGGCGAGGAGCCGCUUCCCUGGGGAGCUGCUCACCCACGGGGACCCAGAUCUGAGGCCGGAGCGGGGCGGGGGCAUUAUCUCCCGCUCACCAGGCAUGGACGCUUUGGAGGCGGAUUACGGCAACCAUGCCCUGCUGGCUACGGUCCGGGGCAGGCGGCCCACGGUCUCGCCAGAGGCACUGGUGCGGGAGCUGGAACGCUGCUGCGGCGUCGAGAGGAGCCGGAUCCGGGUGGAGGUCACGCAUCCGGCCGAUUUCUUCAUCACCUUCGCCACAUCAGAGGAGUGUGACGCGGUCUUCACCCGGUCUGGCCAGAUCCGCUGCGUCGGGGCCCCCAUCGCCUUCCAGCGCUGGCACCGGAGCGCGCAGGCCUCCAGCGGCAAACUACAGUUCUUCUGCAAGUUAGGGAUCGAGGACCUUCCUGCCAGUGCUUGGGAAUGGGGGACUCUUAGUCAGCUCGUCAACAACCUUCAAGGUCAGCUGGUUGAGAUCCUGCCGCCGACCGACCGCUGGCAGCUGGAGGUGACGGCGUGGAUGAAGAACCCGUCCGGCAUUCCCAAGAUUUACGAUCUGGAGGUUCCGGAGCCGGCGGGUCUGCCAAACUCGGUCGACCAAGAAUGGCCGGUUGCCCCACCGCCGCCGGCGCCGCCCUCGGAGUGCAUCACACUUGUGCAUCACCUCACCAUUCAUGUCCUGGAUGUGGUGGACCGCACCGUGCCAUACUUGCAAUUCAGGCCGGACUUCGAGCCGGAGGAGGACGAAGAUCUCACUAGAAGACACGACUACUCCAGAAUCUGCUACUGGGGCUUGAUAGAUGGAAUUGGUGCGGGCAACAUGAUGCGGUCAGGGGGCCAUCCUUUUGCGGGUCCGGGCGGGUUGGGUAUUGCGGGUGAUUGGGGCGGGCGUUCGGCCAACGACCUUCCUACCCAGGGCGGCGGUCUGGAGUUUGGCGCACCAAGGCCGACGGCAACCGCACUGUCCUCUGUUUCACCUUCUUCCAAUGCCACGACGGCGGUUGGAUCUGUGGCCCUUGUGGGGACGCCAGUGGGUAGGUCCCCGGCAUCCAUUGCCGUGGGCUCAGCAGCACUGCAUCGGACACCAGAGUUAGCACCAAGUGGACGGGGAUGUGCGCCAUCACCGCGGAGGCUGUCAUUUAGCCAGGAGGCUCAGGGGGAGGCUGCAGAUGGAUCGACCCAAGCUGACGACGUGUUGGAUGGGGCAGCACAGGCGCCUGUGAUAGAGGAACACAAUAGAGCGCUGCUGGAGGUCGUGGGGGCGACAGGGCCACUCUCAUCAUUGUGCAUCCCGCACAGGCAGGAGGAGGAGGAGCCAUCGGGGCAGGAUUUGCCUCGCACCCCGAUUGUAGUCCCGCUGGGGGAGCACCGGCUAAUACGGCCAAGCGAGGAGGACGCGGCUACGGAAUUCGGCCCCAAAACAGUGGUGACCACGCUACUGAAGGGUGUCGGGGCCACACCCGCGCCAUCAGUCUUGGGACUCAGGCCGGUGGCAUCCAUGCCGGCCAGGCGCAAGAAGAAUCUGCCUCCCAAUUUCACUCCAAGGAGGAGUGCUAGGCUCUGCCAGCAAGAUGAUGGCAUGAAGAAAGGACCAGAGCAGCGUGCCCAGACGGUGCUACUCCAACGCAUGGGCCUGAUCGAGAACAAGGAGCAGAUGACCCAGGAGGCUCUUGAGGCGUACCUCCGGCUUUUCGACAAGCCACUGGCACCCCAACACAUUAGGGCGGUGGCCGCCCUGCUUGAUCCGGAGGGACAUGGGUUCAACGAGCCGGCGCAACUCCAGUUCGGGGCAUUCUUACUUCCCGAGCAGGCGGAGUCCUGCGGCGUCUAG